rnacentral:tRNA from 1 species
GGUGGCUCAAUGGCAGAGUACUUGCCUUACAAGCAUGAGACCCUGGGUUCAAUUCCUCAGCACCA